GUGUCAGCCGCCGCGGUAAUACGUAGGGGGCAAGCGUUGUCCGGAUUUAUUGGGCGUAAAGCGCGUGUAGGCGGCUUGGCAAGUCCGCUGUGAAAACUCGAGGCUCAACCUCGAGAUGUCGGUGGAAACUGCUUGGCUAGAGUCCGGAAGAGGAGUGUGGAAUUCCUGGUGUAGCGGUGAAAUGCGCAGAUAUCAGGAAGAACACCUAUGGCGAAGGCAGCACUCUGGGACGGUACUGACGCUGAGACGCGAAAGCGUGGGGAGCGAACAGGAUUAGAUACCCGCGUAGUCC
rnacentral:rRNA from 1 species